UACGUAGGGGGCAAGCGUUGUCCGGAAUCAUUGGGCGUAAAGCGCGCGUAGGCGGCUAGAUCAGUCUGCUGUAAAAGUCAAAGGCUCAACCUUUGAAAGCCGGUGGAUACUGUCUAGCUAGAGUCCGGAAGAGGCGAGUGGAAUUCCUGGUGUAGCGGUGGAAUGCGCAGAUAUCAGGAGGAACACCAACGGCGAAGGCAGCUCGCUAGGACGGUACUGACGCUGAGACGCGAAAGCGUGGGGAGCGAACAGG
rnacentral:rRNA from 1 species